GUUAGCCCAGUGGUUCUCAACCUUUUUUUUCCAACGGGCCGCACUAUGGUGCAAGUCUCGCGGCCGCACGCAUAUCAUUUACAUAUUACGUUAUCAAUACAAACCAACCUGAUUUAUAAUAUUAUAGCCUAAAUAUUAUGAUAUUUAAUCGAUAACAUUCACUGAAAUAAAUUAAUAAUUCUACUCCCCAUAAAUAAAACACCUGAUGCUGUCGGGAGCUGACCAAUUUUGUGAAAUUCGGCUCGAAAGGAGUAACAGCACAAUGAAGUUGCGAUUGUAAGUUGCAGUCUGUAAGACGCGCACGGGAGCAUGACUUGACGCUGCGACAUUGCAGAAAAUGUGCGUUCACAAAUGUAGCCUAUGUUGAUCCAAAUAUGGAAAGCACUUUCGAAUUUAAUAAUAUGAGGUUCUCUCCAGAGUUAUUUUUAAUUGUGUUCAGCAUGGUGGGCCGCAUUUGAAUUCGUGACGGGCCGCGGGUUGAGAACCGCUGCGUUAGCCAGUAAAGCAUUUUUUUAAACAAUGGCACUUAAAGUUUUGAACUAAAAAUAUUAUUUCAACCAUAUAGCCUGUGAAUAAACAAAAUGCAUACUUUUUCAAUGAAAGAACACUGAGAGUUUGCUUCUGGUGUUUGGAUUUGUACUUCAAUAAUGAGCUCCAAGUUUAGGAAUAGCCAACACGGUUUAUCUCUCUCUCUCUCUCUCUCUCUCUCUCUCUCUCUCUCUCUCUCUCUUUAACUCUCUAUUUAAUUAACAGCAUUAACUUACAAUGAAAUACAUCUUCCUUCAGGUAGACUGAAUGUUUUUCUGUCUUGCUAAAUGUUGGGCUCAUGAUCAGUAAGUUGUAUUCGCUCAAACUGAUUUAGUUAAAUCAAAAUUUGCGGACUUUGAAGCUGGGCGCAGUUAGCGCGAGUCACGCGCGCUGUGAAGCGGGAGCAGCUGACGGAGGACUCCGCUUGGUCUUAAAGCCUUCCGCAAACGCUACGUUCACAAAUAACAAUGAUUUUCGUAAAAUAAUGAUUAAUUAUCAAUUGAUAAUUUGUUAUUAUUAU
ensembl:lncRNA